rnacentral:rRNA from 1 species
AUUGAACGCUGGCGGAAUGCUCUACACAUGCAAGUCGAGCGGCAGCACGGGGGCAACCCUGGUGGCGAGCGGCGAACGGGUGAGUAAUACAUCGGAACAUGCCCUGUCGUGGGGGAUAACACUUCGAAAGAAGUGCCAAUACCGCAUACGUCCUGAGGGAGAAAGCGGGGGAUCUUCGGACCUCGCGCGAUUGGAGUGGCCGAUGUCGGAUUAGCUAGUUGGUGGGGUAAAGGCCUACCAAGGCGACGAUCUGUAGCGGGUCUGAGAGGAUGAUCCGCAACACUGGGACUGAGACACGGCCCAGACUCCUACGGGAGGCAGCAGUGGGGAAUUUUGGACAAUGGGCGGAAGCCUGAUCCAGCCAUGCCGCGUGUGUGAAGAAGGCCUUAUGGUUGUAAAGCACUUUAAGCGAGGAGGAGGCUACUUUAGUUAAUACCUAGAGAUAGUGGACGUUACUCGCAGAAUAAGCACCGGCUAACUCUGUGCCAGCCGCCGCCGUAAGAC